ACAAUACAUAACUGUUAAGUUGCCAGACAUGAUUUUUAUUUAUGGGACAACGAAAAGGAAUUGAAAGUUUUUUUAUAAAAGGAGCUGAUUAGGGAUCAGCGUUAUAAAUGGUUAUUAUGCUUUAGUCGAUUAUUAAAUACAGGGUGUUUCAGAACAAUCGGAUCAAACUUCUGGGGAUUGUUCAGUGCAAGAGAAGAAUCCAUUUGAGUAUAGGAACCCAUGUCCGGAAAUGCGUCACUACCUUAAUAGGAUCUGCUGCAUUUAUUUUUACCUUUUGUACAUAAUACCAUAACAACAAUUGUUUAAAAUCAACGCUUAUCAAUAUCAAUUCUCAAUGUCAUGUUUAAAAAUUAUAUAGCUUACAAUUUUUUUAAAAUUUAUUGCGAAUGGAAAACUUUACCAAUCAAGAAUUGGCGGAUAUGAAUUUGGCAUACGGAGCAACAAACUGCAAUGCACGAGCAGCAUCGCGGUUGUAUCAUGAACGUUAUCCCGAACGACAGCAUCCUGGAUACAAAAAGUUUAUUGCGGUUCAUCGGCACGCAUGUUUAAGACCAAGAUACAUGAUACUGGUGUUGCUCGAAUCGUAAGAACGGUCGAAUUUGAAGAAGAGGUGCUUCAGCGAGUUGCCGAUGAACCAUCAAAUAGCACACGUGACGUCGCUAAGAAUAUGAAUACGAGUAACGCUUCUGUCUGGCGGGUACUACACGAGAAACAACUCCAUCCUUACCACUUCCAGAAAGUUCAAGGUAUGACUGCAGCCGAUUAUCAUCCUAGAGUUCAAUUGUGUCGAUGGCUUCUGGAUCACAUCAUUGCACAACCAAAUUUUUUACGAUAUGUUUUGUGGACCGAUGAAGCCUCUUUCACAAGAGACGGUAUUUUUAAAAGUAGGAAUCUCUAUAUUUACUAAUUAUUAUUGACGGAAAUGGACAUUAUGAAAUAGUGGCCGCUUUUUUGAUGGCUUCUGAAACAGCUGAAGCAAUUAGAAAAAUGCUAGAAAUGUUUAAGGCAUCAAAUCCAAAUGGGCAUAUGACCCAUACAAUCAUGACGGACGGAUAAAGACAUGACUGAAAGAACGGCAUUUACCGAAGAAUUUCCUAAUGCCAAACUACUGCUCUGUCUUUUUCAUACUCUGAAGGCAUUCAGAACUGAUAUCACAACAGAGGCAAUGAGUAUAUCUGCUGCACAAAGGCAAGAAUGUUUAAAUAUUUGUAAAAAAAUGGCCUAUUCAUGCACCGAAGAGGAAUAUUUUAAAAACUAUGAUCUCCUAAUAGCAUUAAAUGUACCAAAGGUUUUAAACUACUUUAAUGAAAAUUGGCAUAACAUACGGACAGAAUGGGUUGAGGGGUUUAAGAAAAGUGCUGUUACCUUUAACAAUAGUACAACUAAUCACUUAAGAGUCUUUGAAUCAAAAAAUCAAACAAGUUUGCUCGAAAUUUAACAAUAUAAAUGCAUUUUAUGAAGAUUUUUUAACGUUCAUUAAAAUUUUUCGCACUGAAAAGGAUCACGCUGUUCAAAUAGUUCUAGCCAAAAUUCCCGUGACGGAUUUUCAAGCAAACUCUGUAGAGGGAAGGUAUCUAAAACUGGUAACACCCUAUGCCUUCCAUUUUAUACAAAGGCAACUUGAGUUAAGCAUGAAAGUGGAUGUUCUAAAUUUAAAUGAGUUAACAUAUUUUUGCAGUAAGGCGAAAAAUUGAGUUAAGUCUGUAUUGUGAGAACUUAGUUGCCAAGCGAUUUCAAAAGUUUCAUUAAAUUAAGAGUCACACUAAUGACUUUGGAGGUGAAAAGGAAAUAUGGAAGACCAUCCUAUUGGGACUAUAAAGAUUAAAAAUCAUGUAAAGGUUCUAUCUCUCAUCAUUCUGUUUGUGGUGGCGUCUUCUAUACGAUAGUGAAGGUAUUUAUCAGUUUAAAGUUCUUAUCUUUAUUGCCGCUGCUCACGCUGGUACAGUGUAAAUAAACAUUUUGUUUAUAAUACCAAAUAUAAUGGAAGGUAAAAAUGAUGUUCCUUCUUCAGAUAAAAUAUGUGUACACUGCAAGAAAAAUGUAGUGACCUGUCUAGAAUGUUUAAGAUGUGGGAAAAUAUUUCAUCCAGCUUGCAUGAAUCAGGCUAAUGAAGCAAAGAAUAAGCAAUGUCGUCAUAUUGAUGUUAGAGGAUUGGCUAAAGAAGUGGAAAGUCAAAAUAAAACAAUUCUAAAACUAAAUAAUAAAAUAAAUAUUCUUGAAGAAACAAUUAAAAAACUUAUGGAAAAAUCUGAAAAUCAACAAUUACAAGAAUCACCGUCAUUGAAUAAUCCAAUCAUGGAAAUAAAUAAAAAAAUUGAGGAGAUGGAACAAGACAUAGAAUAUUUAAAAACUAAGCCACCAAUGCUGGUUCUGAGCUCUGAAACGGUCACUGAGGUGGACGAAAUCUCUGAAAAUAGCAAGCAGGGAAGAGAUGACGAUUUGUUGACCACCAUUAAUGGUGCACUGAAAGAUCAAUCUGAGCAGAUUGCAAUUAAAUUGGAUGGCAUAGUGCAGGCUAUUAAAAGUACCAACAAAGAACUAGUCGAAUUUUUGACUCAAAACAUAACAAAAAGUAGUCCAGUUACCAAAACACCACUGCAGGAAAAGAAACUGUUAAAUAUUACAAAUGCAAAUCCGGCAAAAGAACUAAUGCAAACCAGACCUACCAUAGCAAAUGGAAUAAGUGCAUCAUCGUCAGCGACAAUAAAUCAGACAUCAAUUAGCAACCAAAUUCAAAGUAUGGUUAAGGGCACAGGAAGAGUUUUGGAUAUAACUGCAGCUGCCGAAAGAAAGUGGUACUAUGUGGGAAAUUUACAUCCUGACUGUACAGAGGAACGCCUAAAGGACCAUUUAAUCAAGAACGAUAUAGAUUUGUCCAGUUGUGAAAAAUUGAAUAGUCAGUUUGAUCAUAAAGUAGCAUUUAAAAUAUCUUUUGAGCCACAGUUGGAGAAACUUGUAUUAAACAGUGAUCUGUGGCCUUUGAAUGUAGUGGUCAAACCUUUUUCAUUUCGCCCUAUGGGACGUCGCUUCAACGGGAUGAAUACUUCGCAGAAUUUUCGAAGAGGCUUCAACAGGAACCAGAGAAACUAAGUGUGACAGUAAGUGAACCUAAGACACUAAAUAUUGUAUAUCAGAACGUAAGAGGGUUAAAUACGAAAAUAGAUGAGUUUUUAGAGAGCAUUUGGACUACAUCUGAUGAAUAUGAUAUUGUAAUAUUAACCGAAACAUGGUUGCAUAACUCUGUAAAUGAUUGUGAAAUAUUUCCAAAUAUAUUUAGAGUUGAUAGGGAUUUUCAACUAAGUGGAAAAACCAGAGGGGGUGGAGUUUUACUAGCAUCCAAAAAUAAUUUCUGUGUAAGUACUGUUGACACAGGAUUUAUAGAUGAAAAUAUUGAUUUUUUGUGUGUAAAACUUACAAAGGAAAAUUGUAAAUGUUUGUAUUUAUUGACAUUAUAUGUAGCACCAUCUUGUACUCUUAACUCGUAUGAAAGAUUAUAUGAUUUUCUAGAAAAACAGCAAUAUCUGUUUGACUCUGACAUUAUUAUUAUAGGUGACUUAAAUAUCACAAAUCUUAAUCGAUAUUACCAAACAGGAGAGUCAGACAGGUUUGUAGAGACAUUUUUGCAAUUUUUAAAUUUUUAUGAUGCUACACAAGUCAAUUUUGUUUCCAAUAGCUUAAAUCAUAUACUAGAUGUAGUGGUUACAAAAAGUAACUGUACUGUUUUAAGAAGUGACUUUUGUUUUGUUAAAGAAGAUAAACACCACCCUACUCUUAAAGUAUCCUUGUCAUUGUGCUGUAAUAGUAAUCAAAAAGAGUUGGCAUCUUUAUCGUCAAGGUAUAAUUUUGGCAAGGCUGACUUUUUGUCUAUGUAUUACCUUUUUCUAAAAAUAGACUGGAGCUUUCUGGAGUCUCACACUGAUAUUAAUAAAGCAAUUGAUGAAUUUUAUAGAACUUUAUAUUCAAUUUUUGAUAUAUGUGUACCUAAAGGCGAAAAAAAAUGUAAAAAAUAUCCUGUUUGGUUUACAAAAAAUAUUAUAAAUAAACUAAAAUUCAAAGAAAAAGCUCGGAAAAAAUACAAAUUAAGCAAAAAUCAAGAUCAUUAUCUUCAAUUUAAAAAACUUAGAGUUGAAAUUAAAAAGGAUAUAAAUACCGCCCACAAAAAAUAUUUAGAGGCAAUACAAGACAAAAUCAGUGUAGACUCUCGAUCUUUCUGGUCAUAUAUAAAUAAUAAGAAAGGAUCUGUGCAUAUACCCAACAAAAUGUUUAUGGACAAUUCGGAAUUUAACUCUGGUGAAGAAAUAUGUAAUGCAUUUAGUGACUAUUUUAGUAGUGUUUAUUCGAGGGAAGAGGGUAAUAACCCGAAUACAUUAGAAAAUAUUUAUUCACCAGAAAUAAUUUUAAAUAAUGUAAAUAUAGAUGAUGUAAUUGAUGUUAUUAAGAAAUUAGAAGAGAACAAAGCAAUAGGUCCAGAUAAUGUUCCAAGCUAUUUGUACAAGGGAUUUUGUGACAUAUUAAGUUACCCAUUAUGUUUUUUGAUUAAUCUAAGCCUUAAAACAGGAAUUUUUCCCAAUGCUUGGAAAGUAGCAAAAAUAUGUCCAAUCUUUAAGAAAGGCAAUAAAAGUGAAAUAAAAAAUUACAGACCUAUUGCUGUGCUCUCAGCACCAGCUAAAGUGUUUGAAACCAUUAUUUUUAGAACUAUUAUCAAAUAAAUAACAUAGAUGACUGUAGAAUGCUACAAGACGAUUUAAAUAAUGUUGUACAAUGGUCAAUAGAAAAUAGAUUAUAUUUUAAAGUCAAUAAGUGUGUAGUUAUGUCUUAUAAUAGAAAACAAAGAGAUAUAUUAUUUCCUUAUAAAAUACAAGAUAGUCUAUUGACUAGAGUAGAAAAGAUUAAAGAUUUGGGUGUGUUAUUUGAUAAAAGAUUGACUUUUAAUCUACAUGUAAACGAAGUGGCAAACCAUGCAAAAUGUAUGGAUUUAUUGCCAGAAGUACUAAGGAUUUCGUGAGUGUUUCCUGUCUCAAGCAGUUGUAUGUCUCAUUUGUAUGUAGUUUGUUGGAUUAUGCAUGUAUAGUGUGGUCGCCAUAUUAUAACUGUUACAAACAUACGUUGGAGCGGGUGCAAAAUAAAAUGCUCCGCUAUAUCUAUUUUAGAGAAAGGGGGGUAUAUGACCGUGAGGUGUCAACCACGACAUUACGCGAAAGAUAUGCCCUCCAAUCAUUAGAUAAGAGGAGGCAAAAAUUUGCAGUUAUUUAUCUAUAUAAAACAAUAAAUGGGCAAAUAAAUGAUCCUACAUUUCUUUCAAGGUUGAGUGUGAAUGCUCCAGCGUAUCUUACUAGAAGAUGUAAGACAUUUUAUGUGUCGGAUGUAGCUCUUAAUAAUAGACAUUUGAGUUCACCAUUAUUUAAUUUGUGUGAAACUUAUAACAGAAUUCAAGAAAGCAUUGAUAUUUUUAAUACAAGUUGUGCUGAACUCAAAUGUCGGUUAGAUAUAAUUUUAUAGUUAGUGCUGGCCAGAUUAAGUUAGUAUUAAGUAUUAUUUUGAAUUAUUUUUUAAAACAUUUGUUAUCUUUAUUAUUAUUAUUAUCAUUGGUAUGUACUUUGUAAUAGGACCGUUUACUUAGUAAACUUCUGUAAAGUACAUGAAAUAAAUAAAUAAAUAAAUAAAUCUCAGCAACAAAAAUACAAGCACUACAUGACAGUUAUAAAUAAUCUAUGUGACAUGGCGAAUCAUUACAAAGACGUAAUAGUAAUAGAACAUAUUGAAAAUAUGGAUAUUUUAGCUCCACAAUCAAAUGCUGGCGAAACGGUCCUAUGUAAUAGUAGUCCUUUAGACUUAACCGACGGCGAUGUCCUGGUGAAUCAACAGAAAGACGUAGUGGUAGAAGUUAUUGAAAAUAUUGCAAGUCGUUUGACGGUCUAUUGAUUUUUUAUAGAAACUUCAUAUCCAGGAUCAAAUGAGGAAUCAGAUUUAUUGGAAAUGGGGAAUCAAGAUAACCCAGUAGUGGCAGAAGUUAUGCAUAAUAAAGAAACUUCAUAUUCACAAUUAGAUGUUGACAUGAACAUGAAUAUGAUUAUUACAAAUAAUGAAAUAAACUCAUCAGAACUAUCAGAAGGUAAUAAUCUUGAGUGCGAUUAAUUGUGCAACAAGGCAAUUUUACGCCUCUCAAAAUGAAAAGAAGAGGCCGUCCUAGGGGCAUUAGUACCACCGUUGUGGGUCUGAGGAAGAAACGUGGAAAGUGACAAAAAAGUAUUAAGUUUGUAAUUAUUGUU